rnacentral:rRNA from 1 species
AUUGAACGCUGGCGGCAGGCCUAACACAUGCAAGUCGAACGAGUGGCGGACGGGUGAGUAAUGUCUGGGAAACUGCCUGAUGGAGGGGGAUAACUACUGGAAACGGAAGCUAAUACCGCAUUCCAGCGGCUGUGCCCAGGUGGGAUUAGCUAGUAGGUGGGGUAAAGGCUCACCUCGGCGACGAUCCCUAGCUGGUCUGAGAGGAUGACCAGCCACACUGUAACUGAGACACGGUCCAGACUCCUACGGGAGGCAGCAGUGGGGAAUAUUGCACAAUGGGCGAAAGCCUGAUGCAGCCAUGCCGCGUGUAUGAAGAAGGUCUUCGGGUUGUAAAGUACUUUCAGCGGGGAGGCGUUCCUCGCAGAAGAAGCACCGGCUAACUCCGUGCCAGCCGCCGCGGUAAUAC